rnacentral:rRNA from 1 species
GACAGAGGGUGCAAACGUUGCUCGGAAUCACUGGGCGUAAAGGGCGCGUAGGCGGGCUGUCAAGUUUGGGGUGAAAUGCCACGGCUCAACCGUGGAACUGCCUCAAAUACUGACGGUCUCGAGGGAGGUAGGGGCGAGCGGAACGGAUGGUGGAGCGGUGAAAUGCGGUUGAUAUCAUCCGGAACUCCGGUGGCGAAGGGCGGC